ACAUUCCUACAACGUAGCGAUAAUGCACCAAAUCACAUAAGAACUCCACAGUUAAGUGUGCUUAGGAUAGAGUAGUAUUGGGAUGGGUGACCUCCUAAGAAGUCCUAGUGUUUUAAAUGCC
rfam:Picea glauca, whole genome shotgun sequence.